AGAAUCAGUAGUUUCAAAGCACAACUAGUGUUCGUCUGGGCUACAUCUGUGUUUCCUAUGUUAGAUUGUUACUAUUGUUUUUUGUUCUAACCGUGAUUUUGCAGAUGUCGCCAGCGUAUGUACUUAGAAGACCUCUCAGUCAUUUUAUCAAAUCCAAAUUCGAUUCAUUUUCACAAAAGAGAGUGAGCUUUACUAAAUCUACAGCCCCACUUUGCCGCGGCUGCCAUAUGUCAUCAACUCAGCUCUCUGUAAAAAGGCCAUCUUUGGAAUUGUUCCCAAUUCUAAACCUCAACACACCUUAAUCUGCUUUCAAACGUCUUCUUCCUCUUCUUGGAUGCUUUUCAAAUCUUCUUUGAAAGCUCUAGAAACAUCGGGCCAAUCUUCUCCAGCAGCGCUUUUCCAAAUGUACUUUGAAAGCUCAAAAACUCCCCUGCGCUUUCUAAAAUCUUCCCCUGCAGCCUCACGCUACAUAGUUAUGCCAGACCAAAUAACGUGUCUUUAGAAGUUCGUUCUACGAUUUUUUUGGAAUGAAUCUGAUAUGAUCUGAAGCAUUACUAUAGUGGAAGUGUUUGUAUUUGACACAAAGUGAUGUACUUAUAAGUAAGUUUAAUAAUUCUUUGUAUAUUUACGAAACGAUUGAAUACCAACCGUUGUAUUGGAAAUGCCAAACGGCUAAGCAUUAUCA